UGAUGUAAUGAGAGUAGAGGGAACAAUGGUGACGCAGAGGAAGAUGUGUUCAUUAGUGAACCUAAGGACCUCAAACAACCCUGAGUAAAUCCAAGGAGCAUGUUGUUUCAGAGGGAGUUGAACCCAGCAACCUCACAAGUUGCCACAUGAGGUGGGUUUAUCAACUAAGCGCUACUGUCUGAACUGUCUUUACAAAAAGAGACACAUCUUCAAUGAACAGCUUCCUUGAAACAGGCAGAAACCUCAAGCAGCACUAAACUCAUAGGUGGACAACCAUCUACCUGGAGAGGAGAGACAGACAUUCUGCAAUACUGGGGGUCAUAAAGA